rnacentral:rRNA from 2 species
AACGCGAAGAACCUUACCGGGGCUUGACAUCCUGCGCUAACCUAGGAGACUAGGUUUCCGGGCAACCGGACGCAGAGACAGGUGCUGCAUGGCUGUCGUCAGCUCGUGCCGUGAGGUGUUGGGUUAAGUCCCGCAACGAGCGCAACCCUUGCCGUGUGUUGGUCGCAAGAUCUCUCACGCGGGACCGCCGGUGACAAGCCGGAGGAAGGUGGGGAUGACGUCAAGUCAGCAUGGCCCUUACGUCCCGGGCUACACACGUGCUACAAUGGGAGGGACAACGAGUCGCGAACCCGCGAGGGCAAGCUAAUCUCACAAACCCUCUCUCAGUUCGGAUUGAAGGCUGCAACUCGCCUUCAUGAAGUCGGAAUCGCUAGUAACCGUAGAUCAGCUACGCUGCGGUGAAUACGUUCCCGGGCCUUGUA